AAAAUUUCAACCUUUCUCUUUCUCUUUCUAAGAUAGAGAGCCAAAAACCCUAAAAACAACCGUUGCUCAGAUUUGUUCUUUAGGGAGCGGAUCUUAGCAGCCCAAACCCUCACUAAUCUCUUCUUUCACUUAAUCGUUCCAAGCUUUCUUUAACUUCUAGAUCUAAAUCUUUUCAAUGUAAUACUAGUAUUUAGGUUUUAUUUUCGUUUUUUCAAUUGGGUUUUUUGUUUUUCGAGGUUUUGCUUGUUUUCAUCUUCAAUCAGAUGAAGAGGAUGGCUAUGAGUAGAAGGAUGAUUCUCUAUAGAGUUUUUUCAACUACAACAGCAACAAGAACAUCACCACUAUCACCAACGGAAACAAGAACAAUCAUCACAACAGCAACAUCAAGAUCUUCAACAAUAGCAUCAUCAACUGCAACAACAUAUGCUUACAAGACUCCGACUCCGAUUCAGACCUAUUCAGACCGAUUUCUACCAAUUUCGAGGGCUCCAACAGACUCCAGUUACCUUUGUUACUGUUACUCUCAUCUCCAAGUGAUUAAAAAUCCUUGGUUGAUGGAAAACCUUUGCUAGUGUUACUCUUACAACCAAGGAAUUAAAAACCCUUGGUUGGUUGAAAAAUCCCUUCACCACCAAGUGAUUCAAAACUCUUGGUUGAUUGAAAAAUCCUUGGUUGGAUCUCUUAAAGAUCCCACUGCUGCAAUUUUGCAGAGUGCAAAUUUGUUUCUUUCAAAGCAAAUUUGGCCUCUUAUAGUCUUGAUCUGUUACUGUCCUUAGGAAAUGCUGGAAUGGUUAUAAUGGUUAAAAUUGGGAAAUAUUUGGUCUUGAAUCUGUGGAGUCACAUAACUAUGAUGUCUGUAAUUUUAUCUAUGAUCACUCCUAUAAUGUUUCCGAACUCAAAGCGGCUGUAUCAGUUAAUGUAUGAGGUUUACCUCUUUUAUGAAGAAAAAAAAAAAACCGGCAGAGAACAUAUCAAAUCGAUUCCCAUCCAGUUUAUUGAAAUGUUUAGACUCGAGUUGCUUGGUGUAAACAGAAUAUCUCUCCUAUCUUGAUUCUCUCCAUUCGCGUGAAGCUUUUUCCUAAAUCCUUAGUCCUUACAAAGAGGUUUGUCCUAAACACUUGAAACAAUCUUUAUACCCAAAGCGAUGAUCUCGAUAACUAAUGUUCUAAACACACCAUAUGUAUAUAUUUCAAUCUCUUCUCUUACAUCACUUUUCUCAUCUCUCUAUUCUCUUCUUAAAUUUCCCCGAAGUCUCGAAUCUUAUCAUUUUCUUCAUCCUUGAAAUUCUUUUUUUUUUCUUUCUCAAAUUCGUGACAGAAUUCCAUCACUCAUCAUUGUUGCAUCUUUUGCAGCUAUAGCUAAUUGGAUACACUGGUUUUGCUUUUUAGGAUGGGUUAAUGUGGUUGUGAAAUGGGAAAGGUGACUCAUAUAUUGGUUGAGCUACAGUUUUAGCUCUUGAUAUUGCAUGUAAUCAAAAUCAAUUUUAAUUGAUUGUUCUCACGAUGAAAAAUGGGAUUUGAGUCUGUAACAUUUAUGGUUUUUUAUCAUAAUAUUUGAUGAUUAUUUUUGGGGUA